rnacentral:rRNA from 1 species
GAGUGUUCAAAGCAGGCAGAUCCAAUUUUCUGCCACCGAAUACAUUAGCAUGGGAUAAUGGAAUAGGACCCUGUCCUCCUAUUUUCAGUUGGUUUGCCGCGAGGACCAGGGUAAUGAUUAAUAGGGAUAGUUGGGGGCAUUAAUAUUUAAUUGUCAGAGGUGAAAUUCUUGGAUUUAUGAAAGAUUAACUUCUGCGAAAGCAUCUGCCAAGGAUGUUUUCAUUAAUCAAGAACGAAAGUUAGGGGAUCGAAGACGAUCAGAUACCGUCGUAGUCUUAACCAUAAACGAUGCCGACCAGCGAUUAGGAGACGUUGAAUACAAAACACCACCAUGCGAUUGCGGUCGUCUU